GACGAACGCUGGCGGCGUGCUUAACACAUGCAAGUCGAACGGAAAGGCCCUGCUCUUGUGGGGUGCUCGAGUGGCGAACGGGUGAGUAAAACGUGAGUAACCUGCCCUUGUAUUUGGGAUAACUUCAGGAAAAUGGGGCUAAUACCGGAUAGGAGCUCCUGCUGCAUGGUGGUGGUUGGAAAGAUUCGGCGGUUGGGGAUGGACUCGAGGCUUAUCAGCUUGUUGGUGGGGUAGUGGCUGACCAAGGCUUUGACGGAUAGCCGGCCUGAGAGGGUGACCGGCCACAAGGGGACUGAGAGACGGCCCAGACUCCUACGGGAGGCAGCAGUGGGGAAUAUUGCACAAUGGGCGGGAGCCUGAGGCAGCAACGCCGCGUGCGGGAUGACGGGCUUCGGGUUGUAAACCGCUUUCGCAUGUGACGAAGCGUGAGUGACGGUAAUGGGUAAAGAAGCACCGGCUAACUACGUG
rnacentral:rRNA from 1 species